rnacentral:rRNA from 1 species
AUUGAACGCUGGCGGCAUGCUUUACACAUGCAAGUCGAACGGUAACAGGCCUUCGGGUGCUGACGAGUGGCGAACGGGUGAGUAAUGCAUCGGAACGUGCCCAGAGGUGGGGGAUAACGCAGCGAAAGCUGUGCUAAUACCGCAUGUGAUCUGAGGAUGAAAGCGGGGGACCAAGCAGCAAUGUUUGGCCUCGCGCCUCUGGAGCGGCCGAUGUCAGAUUAGGUAGUUGGUGGGGUAAAGGCCUACCAAGCCGACGAUCUGUAGCUGGUCUGAGAGGACGACCAGCCACACUGGGACUGAGACACGGCCCAGACUCCUACGGGAGGCAGCAAUGGGGAAUUUUGGACAAUGGGCGCAAGCCUGAUCCAGCAAUGCCGCGUGCGGGAAGAAGGCCUUCGGGUUGUAAACCGCUUUUGUACGGAACGAAAAGGCUCUGGCUAAUACCUGGGGCUGAUGACGGUACCAUAAGAAUAAGCACCGGCUAACUACGUG